UGUAGAUAUGAGAAGAACAUCAGCGGCGAAGACACGCUCCUCGCAGUGAACCUACGAGGAGGCGCGAAAGCGUGAGGAGCGAACAGGAGUAGAUAACCUGGUAGUGCUCGCCGUGUAGUAUGUGCAGUAGAUGUUGGGUGCUUGAAGGGUCAGUUGCGCAAUUUAUCUCUUUAAGUGCACCGCCUGGAGACUUCGCCCGCAAGGAUGAAACUCAAAGGAAUUGACGUGGGCCCGCACAAGCGGGGGAGCCUCUAGCAUAAUUGCCUGUUACGCGAUGAACCUUACCAGGGCGAACCUUAUACCGGAAGUCGCAAGAGAUUGUGGGGCCCUUAGGGGGGGGUAUCCUGGUGCAGCGUGGACGUGGUCAGCUCGCGCCUUGUGGGGUUGGGCUAAGUCCCGUAACGAGAACUACCCCUAUGAUCGGAACCCAUCCCCUAAUUUUGGGAACUCUAAGGAAACUGCCGGUGACAAACCGGAGGAAGGUGGGGAUGACGUCAAGUCAUCAUGGCCUUUAUGUCCUGGGCUACACACGCGCUACAAUGGCCGGUACAGAGGGAAGCGACAUCGCGAGGUGGAGCAAAUCGUCGAAAGCCGUUUUCAUUUGAGAUGCGAUUCUGAAACCGGACUCCAGAAAGGGGGAAUCGUUAGUAAUCGAGCUUCAGCAUGGCGCGGUGAAUACGUUCCCGGGCCUUGUACACACCGCCCGUCACACCAUCGGAGUUGGGGGCACCUGAAGUCGUUAGCCUAACCUGAAAGGGAGGGCGCCGUCGAGGGUAUGCCUGGUAAGGGGGGUGAAGUCGUAACAAGGUAACCAAGGGCGAA
rnacentral:rRNA from 1 species